GCCAGCAUGGUGCAGUGGUCUGAGUGUUGGACUAGAACUCUGGAGACCAGGGUUCAAAUCCUGGCUCGGCCA
rnacentral:tRNA from 1 species